rnacentral:rRNA from 1 species
ACACAUGCAAGUCGAACGAAGCUUGACGGAUGAUUUCUUCGGAAUGAAACCAGAUAUGACUUAGUGGCGGACGGGUGAGUAACACGUGAGCAACCUGCCUUUCAGAGGGGGAUAACGGCUGGAAACGGUCGCUAAUACCGCAUGAUGUGUUCGGAUGGCAUCAUCUGAACAUCAAAGAUUUAUCGCUGAAAGAUGGGCUCGCGUCUGAUUAGAUAGUUGGUGGGGUAACGGCCUACCAAGUCUACGAUCAGUAGCCGGACUGAGAGGUUGAACGGCCACAUUGGGACUGAGAUACGGCCCAGACUCCUACGGGAGGCAGCAGUGGGGAAUAUUGCACAAUGGGGGAAGCCCUGAUGCAGCAACGCCGCGUGAAGGAUGACGGUUUUCGGAUUGUAAACUUCUUUUCUUGGUGACGAAGACAGUGACGGUAGCUAAGGAAUAAGCAUCGGCUAACUACGUGCCAGCAGCCGCGGUAAUACGUAGGAUGCAAGCGUUAUCCGGAUUUACUGGGUGUAAAGGGAGCGCAGGCGGGACUGCAAGUUGGAUGUGAAAUACCGUGGCUUAACCACGGAACUGCAUCCAAAACUGUAGUUCUUGAGUGAAGUAGAGGCAAGCGGAAUUCCGAGUGUAGCGGUGAAAUGCGUAGAUAUUCGGAGGAACACCAGUGGCGAAGGCGGCUUGCUGGGCUUUAACUGACGCUGAGGCUCGAAAGUGUGGGGAGCAA